AUUGAACGCUGGCGGCAGGCCUAACACAUGCAAGUCGAGCGAGCGGCGGACGGGUGAGUAAUGUCUGGGAAACUGCCUGAUGGAGGGGGAUAACUACUGGAAACGGUAGCUAAUACCGCAUACCAUCAGAUGUGCCCAGAUGGGAUUAGCUAGUGGGUGGGGUAACGGCUCACCUAGGCGACGAUCCCUAGCUGGUCUGAGAGGAUGACCAGCCACACUGGAACUGAGACACGGUCCAGACUCCUACGGGAGGCAGCAGUGGGGAAUAUUGCACAAUGGGCGCAAGCCUGAUUCAGCUAUGCCGCGUGUAUGAAGAAGGCCUUCGGGUUGUAAAGCACUUUCAGCGGGGAGGCGUUACUCGCAGAAGAAGCACCGGCUAACUCCGUGCCAGCAGCCGCGGUAAUUC
rnacentral:rRNA from 1 species